UUUGUUUGUUUCUUAUUCCACGAGCUUAUAAUGGCACGAUACAUGGCAAUUGGUGUGUUUAAUAUGGUGCUUCUCGUAGCCCUCGUCUUAUCAGGUAUUGAUUUGAGUUAUUAUUAUCUCUCAUGGGUCAAAUUAGUGAAGUAAAAACAUGGUUAAUCAUUUGUGUCAAACAUGUUAAUAAUCCAUUCAAAUGCAUAAUCGUUAUGAUUCUAACAAUAUAUAACACAUUAAUUAUUUAUAGAAUUCAAAAGAAAUUAUCAAAAAGCGUUUGAAGCCCUAAUAUGUACUCUUUUACCUAAUGUUGCAGUCGAAAUGAUGACACCAACAAUGGGUCGUAAAGCAUGCUCUGAAUUAAUACCGAUGCAGCCGAAUUGGUGUGAUGGGCCUCGAGUAUCAGUGGACUGCUGGGAUGCUUGUGGGGAAAGGCAUAAUCCGUAUAUUGCAGCAGAAUGUUUCCAUGAAGGACUACUUCCUGGAAAUAUUAACGUUUGUAAAUGUUAUUGGGAAUGUUAGAUAAUGAUGUUUUUAUUUGGAUGAGAC
rnacentral:lncRNA from 1 species